UAAUUUGUAUUCUGAAUACGUAACGCCGUUACAUGUAUUCCGUUACUCCCCAACACUGCGAGUCAAUUAGCACCCCAAGAUAUUUAAAUUCACUCACAACCUGUAAUUUUGCACCCUCAACAAUUAUGUGAUGAUCACUUGUGGAUCUAUUGGUUUUGCAAAAGAACAUGCUAACUGUUUUAGAGACAUUUAGUUGCAGGCAGCACUCUUGUAACCAUGUUGUAACCUGAGCCAUGGAUCUGGUGAGCAUAGCUGCAACGUCUGCUUUGGAUCUGCCAUGUACAAAUUAAAUAGUAUCAUCUGCGUACAUUAUGGUUUCAACCUCAGGACAAACAGAUGGAAGGUCAUUAAUACAUAUACUAAACAAGAGCGGACCAAGAAUGGAUCCUUGUGGGACACCAGUAGGCUCCACCUCCUUAGAAGGGCGGGGCUUACAAGGUCCAGCAAGUGACCCAGAGUUCGGAUGAGUUUUCACACCAGCCCAAACGAACCGGACUAUCCGACCAAACGCUCCAGGGUUCGUUUUAAAAACAAGGACCACCAGCACCUGUCCCUCAGAGAAGCUCAGCUCAUCGUGGUGGUCAGCCUGGCAGUCGUACAGCGCCUCAACCCGGCGGCUCGUCGCACCCCGAGGCUAAUAGACAUAAGCAAAUCACGCUGAAAAAUGUCC